ensembl:lncRNA
GGGAGAGACAGAAAGAGAGAGAGAGAGAGGAAGAACAGAGAGAGGUGGGGGGAGAUCUGAACUGCGGUGAUUAUUUUUACAGUGUGGCCAGAUUUUUUUUUUUUUCCCUGCAGCAAUAAUCCCCUUCUCCAGCACUGCAGGACAGAGGGAAAGCCUGCAAUCUGUGGACUAUAUGAUAGCUCAGCUCUCCCUCCUUUCCUCAUAGUCCCGAUGCCUUGUUCAUACUAAGGUACACUGAGAAGGGGAAGAUGAUGUCUGGCCUUCAGCCCUUCAACCUUCCAGUCAACUCCACCCUAAGAAAAGCUAGUGAUGGGUCGACAAGCACUAGUUGACAGAGAGUCAAAUUAUCAACAGGGUUAAAAAAAAAAAAAAAAAAAAAAAAAACCGUUCCAGCACCGCUUUCUAAGAAGACCAGCAAGAAGGGCUUACAGAGGAGAACUACUCUACACUCCAAGAGUUUCUGCUGGAAAUAUAGUUUGGUUAACUGGAAAUCCAGGGUGCCGCAGCAUUUAAAGGUAAAACAACAGAAACUCCUUACCAUCUUCACAUUUGGUUCCACUGCCUCAGUCAAGCCAUCUAGCUGCGGGUUAAUAAACACAGAAAAUCUGGAGAUGGUCCAAAUAUAGUAAGGACCUUGAAGACCAAGCUCAAUGCUGCAGGUACCACAGCCAGAAGAAACGUACUUAGUGCCCUACAAGCAGGUAUGGGCUACCCCCAAGACUAAAGAAGCUGGAAAUGAAGAAGCAUGAUCACAAGAAAGGUGCUGCUGAACUAUAAGAUCAGAAAAGGCCCAUCAGCAAUGAACUGGCCUGUGCGCUGAGAGCUGCAGAACUGAAGGAGAGGACAAAGGGCCUGCUGGUCAGCUGCUUACCUCUAAACAGCUCAGGGACGUGUAUUCAGCUGUAAGGACAGGUAACCACAGGGAAAGGCAGUAGUGAUAAGAAACAUGCCCGUUUGAGUGAGAGUACUGCUAACCUCUCUGAGGGCCCUGAUACUCUAAGAGCAGGUUGGGUAUAACUCCCCAUCUACAGGGAACUCAAAGCACAUGAUGAUAGUUUGAAUUGCUCAGACAGAACCCCCCCCAAAAAAAAAAACACUAUCCCAAAAUAGGACCCAACCACAACCUGCAGAUUACAAAUAGAAGAAGGAGAAAUGCUGAGUUGUUCUAAUGACAAAAGGAGACAUUGAUAAAAACUAAAAUAGCAAGAAUAAUAGUCAGAACUUAACUGCUGUCUACAAACAGCAGCUGAAUCUAUGUGCCAAUUAUACCCACAGUUCAUCUCCAGAAGUCACCCUUGGAGCCAAGUGAGCAAAAGAAAACAAAGGGCAUUUGACAGGAAAGAUGCUUGCAACACAUUUAAUUUUGCAUACGGAAUGUAAAUUUCCCAAGGAUAUGACCCAAAGCAUUAAGCCAGUCCAUAUAUUGUUCUAAUCAAUUAAGGCUUCCUGCAUCAGCACUUUCGGAGUACAAACAACUAAAGUCAUCAUGUUGUUUAAUCAGAAGAAAAAUAUUCAUACAGAUUGGUAUAUUUCCCCUAUUUUUAAGUUAUAUUUCUUGAAAAAGUAGAGAAUAACCUGAGAAUCUCUGCAAGUGAAAAGGAUAAGUUAUUACUAAAUUAUACCCAUUUGAGAGGAAGAAAUGCCUAGAUACUACUCAGCGCUUGUCUUAGGGUUUUUUAACAUUUUGAGAUUUUAAAAUGUGUGUUUUCAUAUGUGAGAGAUGUCAUUUAGAAUUUUCCAAGUCCAAAAAAAAAUGGAGCCUUUAAAAAUUUCCUGGUACCUAUUGCCUUAGAUUUAUCAAAAUUACAAAAAUGUACAUUUUAUGGGCUUCCCAGUGGCUCAGUGGUAAAGAAUCCACCUGCCAAUGCAGGAGACACAGGUGUGGGUUCAAUCCUUGAGUUGAAAAGAUUCCCUGAAAGAGGAAAUGGCAACCCACUCCAGUAUUCUUGCCUGAAAAAUCCCAUGGACAGAGGAGCCAGGUAGGCUACUGUCCAUGAGGUCACAAGGAGUCGGACAUGACUGAGCAGGCAUGCAUGUACAUUUUAAUAGCUGGAAUGAGGUUGGAGGAAAUCUGUUCCAUCCUUUUCAACCUCCCUUUGAAAAUGUAGCAACCUCUGUGGUAGGAUCUUUAUUAGUACAGAAAAUAAUAGUAAUCAAACAUUUAUCGAAUAGUUACUAUGUGCCAGGUGGUAUGCAAAGCUCUUUAUAUACUUUAUCUCAUUAUAUUCUUACUAAAUUCUAUUAGAUUGUCACAAUUACUAACUCCAUUUCACAGAUAAUAAGACUGAGACUACUAAUCAGUGAACACUCAGUGGACUCCUUAGGUAGACAUGAGAUUUUAAGAGCAAUAAAUAAAUGCCCCUACAUAAAACCUUCAGAAAUUUACUUUAUUCCUUAAUGGAACAAUAACUUUCAAGUUUCCCCCUCUGAUGUCCUCAGGAAGUAUCAUCAUAAGGAACAAAAGUUUACAUUCAAAUAUUUCCCCAGAAAACUUCAAUUAUAUUACCCUUAGACUUAUUCAGUAUUUUCUUCAGUGUUUAGGUCAUUUCACUGUUCUUAGACUUUCCAAAAUAUAAAGAUAGAAAUCCAGGUAAUGUUUAAAGGGUCUACUAUGUGCUAUGGGAAACCAUGAAAGAAUAUCUUUCAUAUUCUGCAGGUGUAAACCCAGAGCAAAGAUACAAAUAGCUGGUAAGCUUGUGACUGGGAUUUAGAUCUGGAUCUUCUAAUUCCUAAAGGAGGGUAAGCAACUGGACUCAGGCUUGCAACUGCGGGGCAGAAGUAUUUCACAACAAAAAUAAAUUGAAACAAAGAGCCAAACUAAAGAAAGCUUAUUGAAGGGUUUUAAUUAUUUAUCCAAUUUCUGGAUCUGGUUAGCAAUACAUAGACUGUUGUCCUGCUCCCAAGCUUCUUUUGACAAUUUCAACAUAGAUCACAUGGGAAGUUUCCGCAACAUGCCUUCAUAUAUCCAUAUAGAUCAUCAUCAGGAGACAUUAAAAAUAGGGCCUCAGAUUUACGCAAAGAUAAAAGGGAAAUGGGAAAGCAUACUUACCAGGAAUAAUCACAAAUACAGUGAUUAUUUUUCAUCUGUGACUGUGCCCAAUACUAUCAUCAUGAACUUGCAACUCAACCAAUGAAGUCAAUAAUUCUAGGUGACCUACACUGUUGACAUUUUGCAGCAAAUGAAUUCAGAAUUCUGCUAUUCUAAUAGGAGCAGCAACAAACCUUGAAAAUGUAUAGCAUGAGUGUAUUCACUACCAUCUUCUCAUUCUGAAUCCCCUGAAUUGAUCUUCCAUUUUCAGAAAGUAUCCCUGAACCCCAAAUACCAGGUGAACCACACAAUGUAGCUCAAUAGAUUUUUCAAGUGCAAUAAUUGUUUCUCUCUGGGAGAUUCCCAUCAGUCCCAGGAGGAAGGACACUCUGAUUGACCUCAAGGAACACAGCAGAUGUGGCUAAGCUCUGUGUGCUUCCGACCUUAUCAGAAGAAAACCAGGCCUUGAAAAUCACAGGGGAACACCAUGGGUAUGUGUAUAUUGGCUAUGGGAAACCAAACAGCUGGUCAAGCAUGUACUGUCUUUAAAAGCCAACCAAACCAAAGGCAGACUACAGGAAGGGAAAUUGGAAAAAAAGAAAUGUGUGCAUUAACAAUAUUUCUUUAUAUUUAAAAACAUUGCUGGGAAAUAAUAAAAUGAAUGGAAACAGAUGAGGUAUCCUGUAAGCAUUCAGAUGUCUUAAUGAACUAGUUAGCAGAAAAGAUUUUCUACAUAAAAUCCUGAUGGCCCACUUGCUUAAGUUCCUGGGGACAGAGGAGAAGUUUGCUCUGUUACUUUGAAUGCUACAUUUCUUAUUCAUCUCUACAGCCACAUAAGAUGGCAGGAAGAGGGUGGACAACCAGCAAAAUUGACUUUUCAUUUUUAAGCUAAUAGAUUAAAAUUAAGAGACAGAGUAAGAGAGGAAGAAAAGAAGGAAGGAAAGAGGGAGGGAAGAAGAGGAAUCUAGGAGAUACUCAGGGAAGUCCUGACUUUGAAAUGGGAGGAGUUUUUAGCUCCACUAAAUCACUACCCAAUGCUAAUGAGGCCAGACUGGGGCAAAGGCAAUCCCUGGUUCCCUCUCAGGAACCAGAACAAGAAAUGGAGCUUACUGUUGCUGCUACUGCUAAAUCGCUUCAGUUGUGUCCAACUCUGUGCGACCCCAUAGACGGCAGCCCACCAGGCUCCGCCUUCCCUGGGAUUCUCCAGGCAAGAACACUGGAGUGGGUUGCCAUUUUCUUCUCCAAUGCAUGAAAGUGAAAAGUGAAAGUAAAGUCGCUCAGUCAUGUCCAGCUCUUCGAGACCCCGUGGACUGUAGCCUACCAGGCUCCUCCCUCCAUGGGAGUUUCCAGCCAAGAGUACUGGAGUGGGAUGCCAUUUCCUUCUCUGAGGAGCUUAUUGUUAGUACAGAGAAAUACAAGCAGCUGCACCCUGACAUCUCUGAGGAAGCAGCAUGUGAUCCUGGGCAAAACACAGUGGUGAGAGUUCAUGAAGCAGGUUUUUACAAUUUCAGGUUAAAAUUAUUCCAACUCUGCAGCAAAACCAAUGCACUAGUGAAAAAACAGAAUGGGUGCAGAGACAUGAAAGUAAGCCCUGCUCUAUGUGCCAGGAGAGAACCUAAAGGAAACUCAGAGGUGCCUUCUAAGGACUCCCAGCAGAUGUUGCCUAACAGAAAAUUUAAAACUUCAACAUCCCUCUUAUAAACUCCUCAGAAAUCAGUUAAGGAUCUAUAAUAAUUUUCAUUCAUUCAUUCAGCUAGUGUUUAAGACAGGCCUACUAUGUGUGAAGUACUGUACUAGGUACUAGAGAUAUAAGAACAAAAUAAGAUAAGGAUCCUUGCCUUUGGAGCUCACAGCUCAACAGAGCAGAAAACCAUGGCAGUAACUCACUGCAUUACAGUGUACUGGGCAGAUGGUGGUUAAAGAAAGUUAAGGUGGUGGAAUUAAAGAUUGGGUAGAUGAAAAAGCAAAGGUCAGGAGAUGGAAAGGGGUGAUCCUGGCACCUUCAGGUAGCUACAAAGAGUUAAUUUAAACUCUAUUAAACUUUGAUUUUGAAUAUCUCUAAGUAAAUGAUGCACAUUCCCCAGCAAGCCCAGAACACACCACUCCCUGUUGCCUAACACUGGGCCAGAGGAUCACAUUUAUGUUACCUGGCUAGCCUGUGGCACCACUGGCAUUUGAGUAUAUGAUUCCUGAGCUAGGUCAAGACCAGGGACAUACUACCUACUCCUACAGGUCGAUUGCUAACAUGUGAGGAGUUUUUGACUGUCAAAAUAAUUGGGAGGUGCUACUAGAAGUUGUGACCUGGAAUGUUCCACAUCCUGCAAUGCCUGGGACUUUGCUCACAAAGAAGACAUGCCUAUCCCAGAAGACACACCUAUCCCAAACGCCCAUCUUUGAGAGACCUUGGGCCAGAUUGUGUCAUGUUAUAACAUUUGCACUCUAAUAAUUAUUGCCAGGCUCUACUUGAAUUAUUAACUUUUCUAAGUGACUGACAACAAGAGAACACACACACACAUAUACAUACACAAACACAAAGAAAAGAAUUCCACAAAGAAUCUUUGUUUAUAAUUGAUGCUGAGAAAGAGACAACAUUUGAAAGGAAGGCAAUAUUUUCUUCCCUGAACUAGUAGCAGUAUCUGGCUUCAUAACAAAGAGAGUCUUUGCAAAACCAAGAUGUUCCUUCCUGCUGCGACUUCACACCAGCACCCUCAUUAGAGAAGCCAGAAGGAAAGCUUACCAAAACCAUUUUAGAGAGGUUAGCUUUCACAUGUGAGAUUUCUGGCAUCACCCUCCUUUGAUGGUAGCAAAUGUUGUACUGGCGAUGAGGGGUUACCUAUUGGACACAUACAUCAGAAUGAUGUCAUGGAAACACUUCUGGUUAACCACACAGGACACAGACCACAACGGGGACAGUUCAGAGCCACUAAAGUUGACUCUCACUAUUUCCAUAGUCUCUCUCCCACUGCAAAUUCCAAGAAAAGUGUUAGUUGCUCAGUUGUGUCCAACUCUUCGAGACCCAUGGACCAUAGCCUGCCAGCCUCCUCUGUCCAUGGAAUUCUCCAGGCAAGAACACUGGAGUGGGUAGCCAUUCCCUUAUCCAGGGGAUCUUCCUGACUCAGGGAUCAAACCCAGGUCUCUUGCAUUGCAGGCAGAUUCUGUACUGUCUGAGCCACCAGGGAGGCCCAAAUUUCAGAGAAAUUAUGAUUGUAAUACUGUAUGCACCUUCCAAGAGUGUGUAGAAAAGGACGGAUGAUGUGUAUCCUGAAAUUCCAAAGCAAGUUGUGAAUACUUUGUACAGACUUCCCAACUCUACAGAAAGUGAUGAGGGAAGGUCUGCUCCCUCAGGGACGAUCCUAGGCAGUGACUGCCGAGGAGUACAGUCUUUGUGAAAUGCUUGAAGCCAGACAACAAUUCUGUGACUAAACCACUGUUUUGCUUUUUCAGCAGGUUAAAUAGGCAGGGAAACGAGACAGAAAUGAGUCUUCACAUAUCUAUAAUCAUUAAAGAGCUACAAGGGGGAGUUUUUAAGUUGCAAGAGUACAAGUUUUCCACUAGGAUUUCUGACUAAAGCAUAAAAUUACAGGUGCUAUGUAUCAUCCCCUGCUCCCUUUACUAUCAGUCUUUUGAAAAUUUGUUGUUAUUAUUCAGUUGUGUCCAGCACUUUGCAACCCCAUGGACUAUAGCCCACUAGGCUCCUCUGUCCAUGGAAUUUCCCACAUGAAAAUACUGGAGUGGGUUGCCAUUUCCUCCCCAGAGCAUCUUCCCAGACCAGGGACUGAACCUGCAUCUCCCACAGGUAGAUUCUUUACUUGCCACUGAGCCACCAGGGAAGCUCUCUCAAAAUCUAGCCCAUUCGUAAUGCCUCCUCCCAUCACCCUGCUCUUAUUCCCUCUCAUUAGUCUUGCUUCUGCUACUGGGAGGAUUCUCAUACUACGUUCACUAAGGAGUCAACUCGCAGCCCAGUGGCCCCUUUCAUUCUCACUGUACCUGAUGCUUUUUUUUUUUUUUUUUCAAAUUCAUACAUUCAUGCAGGAUUUAUUGAGAUACCACUAUAGAUGCAGGCAUUAUUCUAUACCUGGGUGAAAACAGCAAUGGACAAGACAGGAAAGGUUCCAGCUCUCAUGGAACUUAGAGUCUAAUGGGGUGGAAGGGAGAUAAAGAACAGGAUCUAAUCAGCUAGCAAAAAAAUCUACAAAGACAGUCAAACAGGAUACUAGGCUAGAGAGUGACAAAGGAGGGGGCUAUGAAAGAUAAAGGAGCUUCUGGGUACUGGGGCCAGAUAACCUGAAUUCAUAUCCUGGCUCUGCCACUAAUUAGCUAUGUGAUCUUAGAGUUGUGUCACUUCUUUGCCUCAAUUUCCUGGCCUAUGAAAUGAAAAUAAUAACACUACAUGUCUUACGGGGUUUUCUUGAGGGUUAAUGAAUUGGUAAGUGCUUUCUAAAGUGCAUAGAACAGUGCCUGCCAUUAAUUGAGAGCUCAGUAAGUGUUAACUGCUGAUUAAUUACUUAUAUUACUAUUCUAAUUAUUAUAUUGGGUGGCAAUAAAAGGCCCAUCUGAGGAGGUGGCAUCUGAGCUAAAACCUAAAUUAUGGGUAGAAACUAGCAGGAAAGAUUCGGGGGAAGAUCAUUCUAGGCUGAAGGAAAACUAUGCUGGGGAAUAGCUUGAGAAGAUCCCAGAAAAAGUAAAAAAGGUAGUGUAAUGGGAACAUCAUAGAUGAUGGGAAAAGUGAGGAGAAAUGAAGCCAAAAGUGGUAAGCAGGGCUAAAUCUAGUGGGGCCUUAUAAGUCAGAGAAUGCCUCUCUGUUUUGUCAGUAACUGAAAAAUUUGCCCAUCCACAUGGACUGUGGUCCCCAUAGAGGCAACCCACAAUAGAACAUAAUCAGCAGCAUUUAAGUAGAGCUUUGUGUCUUACUGACAAUCACAAAAUGUUUGAUAGGUGGUCAAAGGACUUGAUGUGAUCCUUACUGGUUAAGUAACAAAAGUGACUUAAUUCGUACACAUUUGUUUCACAAUCUGCAGAAUAAAAUAGAUUGAAUUAGGUAAUCUCUAAAUUUAUGUCUAAUCUGUGAUUUUACAUCUCCGUUCUUGACUUUCCACUAGAUAUGCAAACAGAUCUAGGCUGGUAGAGGUAUUGCAUACUUUGUAGAAAGUCUUGUUCUGUCUUUACUUAUCCUACUAAUGGGUCUGUUAAUUAGGAAAUAUUAACCUUCUCAAGCUAUAUUAUUAUAUGAAAGUAAAAAUAACAACCAAACUCUGCCUCCUCUAAAACUGUGAUUUUGCAAGAAAAUCGUAUCUUUUGACAAGAGAUCCCAACCCAGAGGCUUCUUACUCCUUCCUGUGUGGGAUUAAUAGCAAACACCUUGUCAUAAACAUUUUUGAAAGGUCAGAGAUGGCAACAAUUUUGCUAAGGAGAUAAAUAAUCAAAUAAAGUACUGCCUUAGUAAUUCCAGGGUUUCAAAAAACUGCAUAAGUCUGAUCAAUAAUGAAGCAAACAAAAGGGAUUGUGGGAUAAAGGGCGGUCCUUUUGAGGUGUUAAAAACUUACCUAAGUCAUUUUUUCCCCCAACACAUUUUGCAUCGCAGCCAACACUGGAAAUUAAACAGGAGAUUCAUACCUACAAUGUUAGAAAAGCAAUAUUCUGACUAUGAAGCCAAAGGUUAUUCUAGGUUAAAGAAGUAAAUAACAGUAGGAAUAAGGAGUUUUGCAAAAGUUAAGGUAAGAACAUUUUCCCUCUACAAUAAAUCAACUAUGGUUAUUGAGCUCAAAAUUUGAAUGUUAUUUUAGGUUGUUUGUAUUACUGACAUUUAAUCUUUAUCCUAGCACAAACUACAGGAGUUCAAAGGAAACUAAUUUAUUCCUAAAAUGUAUAUGCUAGUAUUUUAG